rnacentral:tRNA from 1 species
CGGGUGUAGUUCAAUGGUAGAACUCCAGCCUUCCAAGCUGAUAACGCCGGUCCGAUUCCGGUCACCC